UAGGGAAUCUUCCACAAUGGGCGAAAGCCUGAUGGAGCAGCGCCGCGUGUGUGAUGAAGGGUUUCGGCUCGUAAAACACUGUUGUAAGAGAAGAAUGACAUUGAGAGUAACUGUUCAAUGUGUGACGGUAUCUUACCAGAAAGGAACGGCUAAAUACGUGCCAG
rnacentral:rRNA from 1 species